rnacentral:rRNA from 1 species
CGGACGGGUGAGUAACGCGUGGGUAACCUGCCUCAUACAGGGGGAUAACGAUUGGAAACGAUUGCUAAUACCGCAUAAGCGCACAGUACCACAUGGUACAGUGUGAAAAACUCCGGUGGUAUGAGAUGGACCCGCGUCUGAUUAGCUAGUUGGUGAGGUAACGGCCCACCAGGGCAACGAUCAGUAGCCGACCUGAGAGGGUGACCGGCCACAUUGGGACUGAGACACGGCCCAG